GAUGUGGUAGCUCAGUGGUUAAGCUGUUGGACUUCUGAUCAGAAGGUUGAGAGAUCAAAUCUCCCAAGCCUCC